rnacentral:rRNA from 1 species
GACGAACGCUGGCGGCGUGCUUAACGCAUGCAAGUCGAACGGAAAGGCCCUGCUUUUGUGGGGUGCUAGAGUGGCGAACGGGUGAGUAACACGUGAGUAACCUGCCCUUGACUUUGGGAUAACUUCAGGAAACUGGGGCUAAUACCGGAUAGGAGCUCCUGCUGCAUGGUGGGGGUUGGUAAGUUUCGGCGGUUGGGGAAGGACUCGCGGCUUAUUAGCAUGUUGGUGGGGUAGGGGCUUACCAAGGCGUUGACGGGUAGCGGGCCUGAAAGGGUGACCGGCGACAUUGGGACUGAGAUACGGCCAAGACGCCGACGGGAAGAAGCAGUGAGGGUUGCAAGACUAUGGGCGGAAGCCUGAUGCAAGAACGCAGGGUGCGGGAGGACGGCCUUGGGGUUUUAUGCCGAUUAAACCUGUGACGAAGCGUGAGUGAAGGUAAUGGGUAAAGAAGCAACGGCUAACUACGUG